rnacentral:rRNA from 1 species
GACGAACGCUGGCGGCGUGCCUAAUACAUGCAAGUCGAGCGAGCGGAACUAACAGAUUUACCUCGGUAAUGACGUUAGGAAAGCGAGCGGCGGAUGGGUGAGUAACACGUGGGGAACCUGCCCCAUAGUCUGGGAUACCACUUGGAAACAGGUGCUAAUACCGGAUAAGAAAGCAGAUCGCAUGAUCAGCUUUUAAAAGGCGGCGUAAGCUGUCGCUAUGGGAUGGCCCCGCGGUGCAUUAGCUAGUUGGUAAGGUAAAGGCUUACCAAGGCGAUGAUGCAUAGCCGAGUUGAGAGACUGAUCGGCCACAUUGGGACUGAGACACGGCCCAAACUCCUACGGGAGGCAGCAGUAGGGAAUCUUCCACAAUGGACGCAAGUCUGAUGGAGCAACGCCGCGUGAGUGAAGAAGGUUUUCGGAUCGUAAAGCUCUGUUGUUGGUGAAGAAGGAUAGAGGUAGUAACUGGUCUUUAUUUGACGGUAAUCAACCAGAAAGUCACGGCUAACUACGUG